rnacentral:rRNA from 1 species
UACGUAGGGACCGAGCGUUGUCCGGAAUCAUUGGGCGUAAAGAGCGUGUAGGCGGCCCUUUAAGUCCUGCGUGAAAUCCUGCGGCUCAACCGCAGACGGUCGUGGGAAACUGGAGGGCUAGAGUGCGGGAGAGGAGAGUGGAAUUCCCGGUGUAGCGGUUAAAUGCGCAGAUAUCGGGAAGAACACCCGUGGCGAAGGCGGCUCUCUGGGCCGAUACUGACGCUGAGGAGCGAAAGCGUGGGGAGCGAACAGG